rnacentral:sRNA from 1 species
GCUGGGUGUGGUGGUGUAUACCUGUAAUCCCAGAAACUUGGGGAGGCUGAGGCAGGGAGACUGCAAGUUUGAGGUUAGCUUCAGCAACUUAGCGAUGCCCUAAGCAACUUUUCAAUACCCUGUCUCAA